rnacentral:rRNA from 1 species
GACGAACGCUGGCGGCGUGCUUAACACAUGCAAGUGGAGCGACGAACCGGGCUUCGGCCCGGGGCAAAGCCGCGAACGGGUGAGUAACACGUGGGUAACCUGCCCCAAAGACCGGGACAACCCGAGGAAACUCGGGCUAAUACCGGAUGUGUUCACCGUCCACAAGGACAGUGAGAAAAGGAAGCUUCGGCCUCCGCUUUGGGAUGGGCCCGCGGCCCAUUAGCUUGUUGGUGAGGUAACGGCUCACCAAGGCUUCGAUGGGUAGCUGGUCUGAGAGGACGAUCAGCCACACUGGGACUGAGACACGGCCCAGACUCCUACGGGUGGCAG